UUAAGGCCGACUAGUCAAGUUCUUUAAUCUUAUUUUAUUCUAAUUUAUUCUAAUUUUAACUUUAGUCUGUUUUCUCGUAAGUUUGUCAUAUACAAUUUUAGCCCUUUAGACCAUUUCUGAUCAUUGUUUUUGCAUGUGCGGUUCAGUGCUCUAGAGGAUCUUCGCUUGUAAUUUGACGAGAAAAGUUUGCAGUUUGGAGUGCGUUUUGAAGAUCUGUGGACCUUGGAGUUGCAGUAUUUCAUCCGCACUUUUCCAAAAGGUCCACUCCGUUAAAGGACCUGAUCGAUUCCAAACAGUGUGAAAAAGAAUGAAAUCGACUAUAUUGUCACAGAAAAACUUAUUGUCCAGAAUGUCAUCGAACUGAAUAGUUUUAUGGCGGACAGCGACGGCAGAAUGCUUAGAGAGAGCAAACGUGAAAGUAAACCUUCGGAACGACAGAGUAAGAAUAGAGUGAACAAAUCAUGGCAGCAAAAUGGACAAAGUUCAUAAAGAAAACAAUAAAUAAUAUAUAAAAAUCGAUAAAAA